GUGCCAGCCGCCGCGGUAAUACGAAGGGGGCUAGCGUUGUUCGGAAUCACUGGGCGUAAAGGGCGCGUAGGCGGCUUUAUAAGUCGGGGGUGAAAGCCUGUGGCUCAACCACAGAAUUGCCUUCGAUACUGUAGAGCUUGAGACCGGAAGAGGUAAGUGGAACUGCGAGUGUAGAGGUGAAAUUCGUAGAUAUUCGCAAGAACACCAGUGGCGAAGGCGGCUUACUGGUCCGGUUCUGACGCUGAGGCGCGAAAGCGUGGGGAGCAAACAGGAUUAGAUACCCCCGUAGUCC
rnacentral:rRNA from 1 species